rnacentral:rRNA from 1 species
UACGAAGGGGGCUAGCGUUGCUCGGAAUCACUGGGCGUAAAGGGUGCGUAGGCGGGGCUUUAAGGCAGGGGGGAAAUCCUGGAGCUCAACUCCAGAACUGCCUUUGAUACUGAAGAUCUUGAGUUCGGGAGAGGUGAGUGGAACUGCGAGUGUAGAGGUGAAAUUCGUAGAUAUUCGCAAGAACACCAGUGGCGAAGGCGGCUCACUGGCCCGAUACUGACGCUGAUGCACGAAAGCGUGGGGAGCAAACAGG